rnacentral:rRNA from 1 species
UACGUAGGAUGCGAGCGUUAUCCGGAUUUAUUGGGUUUAAAGGGUGCGUAGGCGGGAUGCCAAGUCAGCGGUAAAAAUGCGGUGCUCAACGCCGUCGAGCCUUUGAAACUGGCGUUCUUGAGUGGGCGAGAAGUAUGCGGAAUGCGUGGUGUAGCGGUGAAAUGCAUAGAUAUCACGCAGAACUCCGAUUGCGAAGGCAGCAUACCGGCGCCCUACUGACGCUGAGGCACGAAAGCGUGGGUAUCGAACAGG